rnacentral:rRNA from 1 species
GCAAACAGGAUUAGAUACCCUGGUAGUCCACGCUGUAAACGAUGAGUGCUGAAUGUGGGGGCUUUUGCCUCUGUGUUGUAGCUAACGCGUUAAGCACUCCGCCUGGGGACUACGGUCGCAAGACUAAAACUCAAAGGAAUUGACGGGGACCCGCACAAGCGGUGGAGCAUGUGGUUUAAUUCGAUGCAACGCGAAAAACCUUACCACUUCUUGACAUGGAGGCUAGAUCCUUCUUAACGGAAGGGCGCAGUUCGGCUGGGCCUCGCACAGGUGCUGCAUGGCUGUCGUCAGCUCGUGUCGUGAGAUGUUGGGUUAAGUCCCGCAACGAGCGCAACCCUCAUCCUUAGUUACCAGCGGGUAAUGCCGGGCACUUUAAGGAAACUG